ACCAAAGAACUGAUUAGCUGAAAACAAUGACUAAUCAAAUCAGUAACCAUGGUGACAAAUUGACAAACUCAGGCAGGGAGACUGUGAACAAAGACAACACAAAGUCCAAGCACAAUGAAACUGUUACACCUUUAGCUCUAUAAUGUUUAACAUUUGUUUAUUAGUGUCAUCUUUUCAAGAAAUAAAUUACAUGGUAGAAUUAUGUCUUUUCUAUUUUGUUUAGUUUUUUUCUGCAUUUUUUUUUUCAGUAACAACAGCAACAACACCAGAAUUGUUUAGAGUUAAAAUGUCAUUGAGAAUAAAUGAAGAUUUUGAUACCAGUCUCAACGACCCCAAUGAUGAGAAGUACAAACGAUAUGCUGGUCAAAUAAAGGAAGCGAUUGAAAAAAGUUACAGAAAUAUAAAUGCCUACAACAACGGUUCAGUCAGAGUUACUGGCUUCAGGCCUGGUAGCAUUAUAGCAGACUAUGAAAUUAGUGCAACAACCAACAACCCCAGCAACUCUGAAUUUGCAACAGCAAACAGUCAGGUUAUCAAAAAUCUCGAAGGUAUCUUGUUGGUAGAUGGUUUUUCUG